UACGGAGGGAGCUAGCGUUGUUCGGAAUUACUGGGCGUAAAGCGCACGUAGGCGGCUUUUUAAGUCAGGGUGAAAUCCCGGGGCUCAACCCCGGAACUGCCCCUUGAAACUGGAGAGCUAGAAUCUUGGAGAGGCGAGUGGAAUUCCGAGUGUAGAGGUGAAAUUCGUAGAUAUUCGGAAGAACACCAGUGGCGAAGGCGACUCGCUGGACAAGUAUUGACGCUGAGGUGCGAAAGCGUGGGGAGCAAACACGGAUU
rnacentral:rRNA from 1 species